ensembl:lncRNA
GCAGUGGGGCGCUGUGGGUCCGGGCCCACCUGCACCACGAUGUCCUUCAUGUAGUCGUACUCCUCGGGGGUGCAGGAAGGCGGUGAAAUCCUUCCUUGGUGGCCGCCAUGUCGCCGUCGCGGUCGGCAUCUUGAAGCGCCGCUCGUCCCUCACCAUCAUCUGCUUGUAGUUGAAGCCGUGUCCGCGGUCGGGGUCGUCUGCGGGGCGGGGGCCAAUUAACGCUAAUUAACGCCUCACCGAGUGAUCCGUGACGCCGGGAUUGGCCGUGGGGGCACCUGGGUGCCAUUAAUUAGCAGCGGCCCGGAGUUAAUGAGGUGUGGGGAGCCAUUAAUUAGCAGCGGCAUGGUGUUAACGAGGCGUGGGGGACCAUUAAUUAGCAGUGGUGUUAACGAGGCACCUGGGGGGUGUGGGGAGCCAUUAAUUAGCAGCGGCCCGGUGUUAAUGAGGCGUGGGGAGCCAUUAAUUAGCAGCGGCCCGGUGUUAACGAGGCGUGGGGAGCCAUUAAUUAGCAGCGGCCUGGUGUUAAUGAGGCGUGGGACCAUUAAUUAGCAGUGGUGUUAACGAGGCGCCUGGGAGGGCGUGGGGAGCCAUUAAUUAGCAGCGGCCUGGUGUUAAUGAGGCGCCUGGGAGGGCGUGGGGAGCCAUUAUUAGCAGCGGUGUUAACGAGGAGCCUGGGAGGGCGUCUGGGGGGCCAUUAAUUAGCAGCGGCCCGGUCUUAACGAGGCGCCUGGGAGGGGGUGGGGAGCCAUUAAUUAGCAGCGGCCCGGUGUUAACGAGGCGUGGGGAGCCAUUAAUUAGCAGCGGCCUGGUGUUAACGAGGCGUGGGAGCCAUUAAUUAGCAGCGGUGUUAACGAG